rnacentral:rRNA from 1 species
AGCGAACAUUGGCGGUAGGCUUAACACAUGCAAGUCGAGCGAGGCGUAAUAGUCGAGCGGCGAACGGGUGAGUAAUGCUUAGGAAUCUGCCUAUUAGUGGGGGACAACAUCUCGAAAGGGAUGCUAAUACCGCAUACGUCCUACGGGAGAAAGCAGGGGAUCUUCGGACCUUGCGCUAAUAGAUGAGCCUAAGUCGGAUUAGCUAGUUGGUGGGGUAAAGGCCUACCAAGGCGACGAUCUGUAGCGGGUCUGAGAGGAUGAUCCGCCACACUGGGACUGAGACACGGCCCAGACUCCUACGGGAGGCAGCAGUGGGGAAUAUUGGACAAUGGGGGGAACCCUGAUCCAGCCAUGCCGCGUGUGUGAAGAAGGCCUUAUGGUUGUAAAGCACUUUAAGCGAGGAGGAGGCUACUCUAGUUAAUACCUAGGGAUAGUGGACGUUACUCGCAGAAUAAGCACCGGCUAACUCUGUGCCAGCAGCCGCAGUAA